rnacentral:rRNA from 1 species
CCUACGGGUGGCAGCAGUGAGGAAUAUUGGUCAAUGGACGAGAGUCUGAACCAGCCAAGUAGCGUGAAGGAUGACUGCCCUAUGGGUUGUAAACUUCUUUUAUAUGGGAAUAAAAUGUUCCACGUGUGGGAUUUUGUAUGUACCAUAUGAAUAAGGAUCGGCUAACUCCGUGCCAGCAGCCGCGGUAAUACGGAGGAUCCGAGCGUUAUCCGGAUUUAUUGGGUUUAAAGGGAGCGUAGGUGGAUUGUUAAGUCAGUUGUGAAAGUUUGCGGCUCAACCGUAAAAUUGCAGUUGAAACUGGCAGUCUUGAGUACAGUAGAGGUGGGCGGAAUUCGUGGUGUAGCGGUGAAAUGCUUAGAGAUCACGAAGAACUCCGAUUGCGAAGGCAGUUCACUGGACUGCAACUGACACUGAGGCUCGAAAGUGUGGGUAUCAAACAGGAUUAGAUACCCCUGUAGUA